rnacentral:rRNA from 1 species
AUUGAACGCUGGCGGCAGGCCUAACACAUGCAAGUCGAACGAGUGGCGGACGGGUGAGUAAUGUCUGGGAAACUGCCUGAUGGAGGGGGAUAACUACUGGAAACGGUAGCUAAUACCGCAUACCAUCAGAUGUGCCCAGAUGGGAUUGGCUUGUUGGUGGGUUAACGGCUAACCAAGGCGCCGAUCCCUAGCUGGUCUGAGAGGAUGACCAGCCACAGUGGAACUGGACCACGGUCGAGACCCCUCCGGUGGUAAGAAGUGGGAAAUAUUGGACAAUGGGCGAAGGCCUGAUGCAGCAAUGCCGGGUAGAUGAAGAGGGCCUUCGGGUUUUAAAGUACGUUAAGCGGGGAGGCGUUACCCGAAGAGAAAGCACCGGCUAACUCCGUGCCAGCAGCCGCGGUAAUAC